rnacentral:rRNA from 1 species
GCACUUGAGUAGCCAUGCUGCUUGAGACUCAGCCUGGCUUUUGCUUGGUGUAUUUCUCGGUAGCACGCCAGCAUUGGUUUGUGUCGUCGGAAAAGCGUAUGGGGAAUGUGGCAUCCUCGGAUGGGUUAUAGCCCUGUGCAGGAUACAACGACGUAGACCAAGGAACGCAGUGUGCCCUCUGGGCGGGUCUUCAGACACCUUCACCUUAGGAUGCUGGCGAAAUGGCUUUAAGUGGCCCGUCUCGAAACACGGACCAAGA